AACCUAGCGUUGUGCAUUUAUAUCCUCAGAAUACACGUGCCGCUUCUUUUCUCCAAAAAUGAAAACCCUCCUUUUUCUCAAACUUCAAUCCCAAAUAGCGUUUCUUCUUCCUCUCUCAAGCCCUAGAACAUCAAAAGUAAUAGAAGUCAAGGUGUUAUGUUGUGAAGAGCGUCACAAACUCUGCUUGAAUUAACUAACUCCUCACAGAAACGAAAAUGCAAUUCUUGUCACUCAGACUGGGCAAGAGGCUCUCCGAUGCUUCGAAGCCUCACUGGAGAAUCUCACCAAACCUUCUCGCUCAUGCAUCAACCACCUCUUCCUCCCCUUCCCCACCGUCACCUCCGAUCUCCGCCGCCUCCACUCUCAACAACCUCCUCUCCGCUCCCUGGUCCGCAUCUCAAACCCGCCGAUUGACUUUCUCCGGAUCUCAUGUUAGAGUUGGAAAUCUCUUUGAGAAUCGAGGACGCGCUUAUGAGGUUCUUAAGCUAUAUAACUCUCAUGAAGGAGCAGGAAAAGCUGCUAUCAAGGUUCCACCUCAUAGCGUAGCUGGUUAUGCCACAGUUGCUGCUACUACAGAAGAUGACAUCAAAAGGAAGGAGCGAAACAGUGGAUUGAGGAAUCAAGGCAUAAAGACAAAGAGAGAGCAGCUCCUAAAAGUUACUGCAGUUGUUCCCCUUCUUUUAGUAUACCCAAACGCCUAUUCACUGCUCGCGGCAAAUUUCUUCGUACUCUGGCACAUAAAUGCAGGGAUCGAAGAGAUUUUGGCAGAUUAUGUUCACCAUGAAAUGACCAGGGAAUUUAUCUUCAUUUCUCUCAGGUUGUUCUUGAUAAUAGCUAUUAAGGAUGUUUUCUUAAACUUCGUAUUUGUGUGAUUGGAUAGAGCUUGGAUGCCGCGACAUUGCCUUACAAUAACAGCUCCCUGAGGAGCAAACUUGAGAAACCUGUUGAAUAGUUUUUUUCGCUUCUUCAACUUAGAGGCGAGGUUUUUUCUCUCUGAACAACAAUUAUAUUUAUCCAAAAGCAAUUCUCUUACAAACAACAAUUCACAACUUAUGAGGUCAGGUAAGAAUCAUUUUGUGUUGUAAACACGGGUUAGAAGACUUUCAACUUCAACUUGCAACCAAACACCUACUUUGAUUUUGUAUUUAAUGCGAGGCUAUCAUGAAAUUCUUUAUGGGUGAAAGGAAAGUGUCAUGUAAACUUCUUAAUAUUAUUUUUCAUCCGUGAUUUUGAGUC